rnacentral:rRNA from 1 species
CAGCCGCCGCGGUAAUACGAAGGGGGCUAGCGUUGCUCGGAAUUACUGGGCGUAAAGGGUGCGUAGGCGGACAGUUCAGUCGGGGGUGAAAGCCCGGGGCUCAACCUCGGAAUUGCCUUCGAUACUGGCUGUCUUGAGUAUGAGAGAGGUGUGUGGAACUCCGAGUGUAGAGGUGAAAUUCGUAGAUAUUCGGAAGAACACCAGUGGCGAAGGCGACACACUGGCUCAUUACUGACGCUGAGGCGCGAAAGCGUGGGGAGCAAACAGGAUUAGAUACCCCGGUAGUCCCUGUCUCUUAUAC